UGACAACAUGUGGCUACUUAAUUAAAACUGAAUAAAAUUAAAAUCCAUCCCCAAGAACCAGCUGCACUCAGUGCUGUGGCCACACUGGGCGGCGCCAUCAGGCGUUUCCAUCACAGAAAGUGUUCAUGGACGGCGGAGCUCCAAAAAAACUGAACAGGCAAUCAAAUCCUUUGUUCUCUCAUGACAGGGUUUCAAGGAGUAAUUCCUGAAGAAAAGUUCUUGGGAGCUUCUACUUUUUCUGGAAUCAGUUUCAUAACUUCUAGAUUCCUAGAAGUUAUGUAGUUCCAUGAGGUACGGAAACAUUCGAGGAAAUAACCUCAGAUGAAGAGAACUCUAACCGUCACCUCUUCUGAGAAGACACCUGCUUGUCUGGGCAGAUUAGGGGAUGGUCAACAACAGUUUCCCAUUAUUGAAUCAAACACUGCCCUGAAGAAAAAUAAAAACAGCGCCAAGAUAAAUACAAAGCCAAACUGAAAAUAAAAUGAAAACCCAAGUAGAUAUGGG
rnacentral:lncRNA from 1 species